AUGCUCACUUCGGCAGCACAUAUAAUAAAAUUGGAACAAUGCAGAGAUUAGCAUGGACACUGCACAAGGAUGACACAGAAAUUCGUAAAGUAUUCAAUAUUAUU
rnacentral:snRNA from 1 species